AAAGUGAUCAUAGGUUUUUUUUUUUUUUUUUCUGUGACCUCUCUUAUUUGCAGAUAGUCGCCUUCCAGCUGUGUGCCCAAAUGGUCCUUCCUCUGUGCAUGUGCUACCCCAAAUAUUUCUUUGUACGUCCAUUUUUUUUUUUUAAUUUUGCAAGGAACCCAGUCUUAUUUAUUUAGGCCACACCUAUGAAUUGAUUUUUCUUUUAGUGACUUCUAAAGGCUUUGUCUCCAAAUGCUGUCAUAUUUUGAGCUACUGGUGGUUAAGACUUUAAUAUGAGUUUUGGAUGAAGACAGUGUAGCCCAUACCAUGAAGUAUGAUGGACAAAUUGAGAAGGUGUAUGCACACUUGAUAUCUGCUGGGAGGCAGUGUAUACAUGAUCCAGCUUAGGCUGACAAGCCAUCAGGGUAGAUGAAUAAAGCACAAUUAUUCUAGGAACAUGUAUGCAACACAUACAGGUCCACGGCUUCUAGAGCAUCACUCAGGCCCAGACUGUCAGCACAGCAUAUCUGUGGGAGGUAACAGAAUCUCUGCAUGUGAGUCCUAGGGUCCAUGUUUCUGGAACCCAUCUUUACUAUGAUUACACAAAUCUUAACUCUAGCCUGAGUCCAAACACAGGCACUGCUAUGUUCAAGUUAAUAUAAAAUAAAAGCAUUCAUGGGAAUUGUCAGACUUUUUCCAACAAAUGUAGAAUCUCUAGUUUUAAAAACUGCUCAAACAUUACAUAGUAAAUGUUUACAGAAUUAGAGACAGAAAUUAAAUUUAAAGAUCAAGUUAAACACAAAAGAACACUAUUUUUAUAUGAUGCUUUAGAGGAACAGGUAGUUUAGGAAAAGAGUUUUAAAAUUAAUUCUCUCUGCAAUUAGAAGUACAGCAAGAAAAUAUAUUAAUGGAAAUUUUUAAUUAUACAGAAGAAAACACUUCUGUUUCUUGUACCACCUCCACAGAUUACAAGAAAUUGACAAUGCGUGUGUGUGUGUCUUUUUUUUUUUAAUUACAAAUAGACAACUCAGUCUUCUCCCAGAAUGGAGGACUCUUGGGGUGGUUUUGACAGAGAUAUACUCAAUAAAAAGGAACUGUUAACUUUCUUCCUAGUUCCUGCCUCUUACUACACCUUCUAGAGCUUAACAUAGCUCUAGGAGGUGGUUAAACAACCUUUGGCCUAGAAGAUAUCAAUAAUCAUAUAAAAUAAAACAAAUUAACUGAAAAAGUCUAAAAAUGUAUGAAACUGGUUGAUUAUGAAGAGGUAAAAAUGAAAAAAAAAACGAGAUAAUUAAUGAACUUAAAAUGGAGACAUCAAGGGACUGGAGUUUUAAAGUAAGAAGUUAGGAUAAGUGAGAAUAUGGAUAGUGCAGAACCAUAACAAUACUUAUGGAUCAGAAGUGCAUCAUCUCAGUUUAGGAAUUUGGAGUCAAGAUAGACCUCAGAAGUUAUGAUUUUUGAUCACGAACUUUAUGUAGGUAAAUUGAAAAGCAACAUGUAACUAUAUUUAUUUUGUUGAAUCCAUCUGGAAUUCCCUCAGUUUAACAAUGGCCACAUUUCUCAUUUCUUUUGUUUUCAAUAUCCCUGCCCUAAUUUAUUACAAAAUUUUACAACAAAUAGUUAAAUUUCUUACUAUAUUAACUACAUCAUAUUAUAUGUGUGGUUGACCUUACCUUGCCAAUAAUAAUAAUAACAAUCCUAAUCAUAAAAAAUCAUCAAGAGACAAAUUCAUCUAAAGAACUGGAAAAUUUUAAAGUGACACAACUAUUGUGGAAGCUAACACAAAAGAAAGGUCUGUGCCUUUUUGCUACAUACUUGAGAAAAUUUUGGAAUUUAGAGUUGAAACUUGAAAAGUUCUUGGAAUUUUUAAGCCCACGAAUUUUGAGUCUAAAGAAAAUGGUAGAUUUGUUAAGGGGACAUCAAAAAAAAA
rnacentral:lncRNA from 1 species